rnacentral:rRNA from 1 species
GGGUUGUGAGGUUAAGCGACUAAGCGUACACGGUGGAUGCCCUGGCAGUCAGAGGCGAUGAAGGACGUGCUAAUCUGCGAUAAGCGUCGGUAAGGUGAUAUGAACCGUUAUAACCGGCGAUUUCCGAAUGGGGAAACCCAGUGUGUUUCGACACACUAUCAUUAACUGAAUCCAUAGGUUAAUGAGGCGAACCGGGGGAACUGAAACAUCUAAGUACCCCGAGGAAAAGAAAUCAACCGAGAUUCCCCCAGUAGCGGCGAGCGAACGGGGAGGAGCCCAGAGCCUGAAUCAGUGUGUGUGUUAGUGGAAGCGUCUGGAAAGGCGCGCGAUACAGGGUGACAGCCCCGUACACAAAAAUACACAUAUUGUGAGCUCGAUGAGUAGGGCGGGACACGUGGUAUCCUGUCUGAAUAUGGGGGACCCAUCCUCCAAGGCUAAAUACUCCUGACUGACCGAUAGUGAACCAGUACCGUGAGGGAAAGGCGAAAAGAACCCCGGCGAGGGGAGUGAAAAAGAACCUGAAACCGUGUACGUACAAGCAGUGGGAGCACGCUUAGGCGUGUGACUGCGUACCUUUUGUAUAAUGGGUCAGCGACUUAUAUUCUGUAGCAAGGUUAACCGAAUAGGGGAGCCGAAGGGAAACCGAGUCUUAACUGGGCGUUAAGUUGCAGGGUAUAGACCCGAAACCCGGUGAUCUAGCCAUGGGCAGGUUGAAGGUUGGGUAACACUAACUGGAGGACCGAACCGACUAAUGUUGAAAAAUUAGCGGAUGACUUGUGGCUGGGGGUGAAAGGCCAAUCAAACCGGGAGAUAGCUGGUUCUCCCCGAAAGCUAUUUAGGUAGCGCCUCGUGAAUUCAUCUCCGGGGGUAGAGCACUGUUUCGGCAAGGGGGUCAUCCCGACUUACCAACCCGAUGCAAACUGCGAAUACCGGAGAAUGUUAUCACGGGAGACACACGGCGGGUGCUAACGUCCGUCGUGAAGAGGGAAACAACCCAGACCGCCAGCUAAGGUCCCAAAGUCAUGGUUAAGUGGGAAACGAUGUGGGAAGGCCCAGACAGCCAGGAUGUUGGCUUAGAAGCAGCCAUCAUUUAAAGAAAGCGUAAUAGCUCACUGGUCGAGUCGGCCUGCGCGGAAGAUGUAACGGGGCUAAACCAUGCACCGAAGCUGCGGCAGCGACGCUUAUGCGUUGUUGGGUAGGGGAGCGUUCUGUAAGCCUGCGAAGGUGUGCUGUGAGGCAUGCUGGAGGUAUCAGAAGUGCGAAUGCUGACAUAAGUAACGAUAAAGCGGGUGAAAAGCCCGCUCGCCGGAAGACCAAGGGUUCCUGUCCAACGUUAAUCGGGGCAGGGUGAGUCGACCCCUAAGGCGAGGCCGAAAGGCGUAGUCGAUGGGAAACAGGUUAAUAUUCCUGUACUUGGUGUUACUGCGAAGGGGGGACGGAGAAGGCUAUGUUGGCCGGGCGACGGUUGUCCCGGUUUAAGCGUGUAGGCUGGUUUUCCAGGCAAAUCCGGAAAAUCAAGGCUGAGGCGUGAUGACGAGGCACUACGGUGCUGAAGCAACAAAUGCCCUGCUUCCAGGAAAAGCCUCUAAGCAUCAGGUAACAUCAAAUCGUACCCCAAACCGACACAGGUGGUCAGGUAGAGAAUACCAAGGCGCUUGAGAGAACUCGGGUGAAGGAACUAGGCAAAAUGGUGCCGUAACUUCGGGAGAAGGCACGCUGAUAUGUAGGUGAAGUCCCUUGCGGAUGGAGCUGAAAUCAGUCGAAGAUACCAGCUGGCUGCAACUGUUUAUUAAAAACACAGCACUGUGCAAACACGAAAGUGGACGUAUACGGUGUGACGCCUGCCCGGUGCCGGAAGGUUAAUUGAUGGGGUCAGCGCAAGCGAAGCUCUUGAUCGAAGCCCCGGUAAACGGCGGCCGUAACUAUAACGGUCCUAAGGUAGCGAAAUUCCUUGUCGGGUAAGUUCCGACCUGCACGAAUGGCGUAAUGAUGGCCAGGCUGUCUCCACCCGAGACUCAGUGAAAUUGAACUCGCUGUGAAGAUGCAGUGUACCCGCGGCAAGACGGAAAGACCCCGUGAACCUUUACUAUAGCUUGACACUGAACAUUGAGCCUUGAUGUGUAGGAUAGGUGGGAGGCUUUGAAGUGUGGACGCCAGUCUGCAUGGAGCCGGCCUUGAAAUACCACCCUUUAAUGUUUGAUGUUCUAACGUGGACCCGUGAUCCGGGUUGCGGACAGUGUCUGGUGGGUAGUUUGACUGGGGCGGUCUCCUCCUAAAGAGUAACGGAGGAGCACGAAGGUUGGCUAAUCCUGGUCGGACAUCAGGAGGUUAGUGCAAUGGCAUAAGCCAGCUUGACUGCGAGCGUGACGGCGCGAGCAGGUGCGAAAGCAGGUCAUAGUGAUCCGGUGGUUCUGAAUGGAAGGGCCAUCGCUCAACGGAUAAAAGGUACUCCGGGGAUAACAGGCUGAUACCGCCCAAGAGUUCAUAUCGACGGCGGUGUUUGGCACCUCGAUGUCGGCUCAUCACAUCCUGGGGCUGAAGUAGGUCCCAAGGGUAUGGCUGUUCGCCAUUUAAAGUGGUACGCGAGCUGGGUUUAGAACGUCGUGAGACAGUUCGGUCCCUAUCUGCCGUGGGCGCUGGAGAACUGAGGGGGGCUGCUCCUAGUACGAGAGGACCGGAGUGGACGCAUCACUGGUGUUCGGGUUGUCAUGCCAAUGGCACUGCCCGGUAGCUAAAUGCGGAAGAGAUAAGUGCUGAAAGCAUCUAAGCACGAAACUUGCCCCGAGAUGAGUUCUCCCUGACCCUUUAAGGGUCCUGAAGGAACGUUGAAGACGACGACGUUGAUAGGCCGGGUGUGUAAGCGCAGCGAUGCGUUGAGCUAACCGGUACUAAUGAACCGUGAGGCUUAACCUUACAACGCCGAAGGUGUUU